rnacentral:rRNA from 1 species
AGUGAACGCUGGCGGUAGGCCUAACACAUGCAAGUCGAACGGCAGCACAGUAAGAGCUUGCUCUUACGGGUGGCGAGUGGCGGACGGGUGAGGAAUACAUCGGAAUCUACUUUUUCGUGGGGGAUAACGUAGGGAAACUUACGCUAAUACCGCAUACGACCUACGGGUGAAAGCAGGGGAUCUUCGGACCUUGCGCGAUUGAAUGAGCCGAUGUCGGAUUAGCUAGUUGGCGGGGUAAAGGCCCACCAAGGCGACGAUCCGUAGCUGGUCUGAGAGGAUGAUCAGCCACACUGGAACUGAGACACGGUCCAGACUCCUACGGGAGGCAGCAGUGGGGAAUAUUGGACAAUGGGCGCAAGCCUGAUCCAGCCAUACCGCGUGGGUGAAGAAGGCCUUCGGGUUGUAAAGCCCUUUUGUUGGGAAAGAAAAGCAGCAGGUUAAUACCCCGCUGUUCUGACGGUACCCAAAGAAUAAGCCACGGCUAACUACGUG